rnacentral:rRNA from 1 species
AACGCGAAGAACCUUACCUGGGCUCGAAAUGUAGUGGAAUCCGGUGGAAACAUCGGCGCCCAGCAAUGGGCCGCUAUAUAGGUGCUGCAUGGCUGUCGUCAGCUCGUGUCGUGAGAUGUUGGGUUAAGUCCCGCAACGAGCGCAACCCUUAUCUCCAGUUGCCAUCAUUUAGUUGGGCACUCUGGCGAAACCGCCUCGGAUAACGGGGAGGAAGGUGGGGAUGACGUCAAGUCCUCAUGGCCUUUAUGUCCAGGGCUACACACGUGCUACAAUGGCCGGUAUAAACCGCUGCAAACCCGCGAGGGGGAGCUAAUCGGAAAAAGCCGGCCUCAGUUCGGAUCGCAGUCUGCAACUCGACUGCGUGAAGCUGGAAUCGCUAGUAAUCGCAGAUCAGAAUGCUGCGGUGAAUACGUUCCCGGGCCUUGUA